CCUACGGGUGGCAGCAGUGAGGAAUAUUGGUCAAUGGACGAGAGUCUGAACCAGCCAAGUAGCGUGAAGGAUGACUGCCCUAUGGGUUGUAAACUUCUUUUAUAUGGGAAUAAAAUGUUCCACGUGUGGGCUUUUGUAUGUACCAUAUGAAUCAGCAUCGGCUAAAUCGCGGCCAGCAGCCGCGGUAAUACGGAGGAUCCGAGCGUUAUCCGGAUUUAUUGGGUUUAAAGGGAGCGUAGGUGGAUUGUUAAGUCAGUUGUGAAAGUUUGCGGCUCAAACGUAAAAUUGCAGUUGAAACUGGCAGUCUUGAGUACAGUAGAGGUGAGCGGAACUCGUGGUGUAGCGGUGAAAUGCUUAGAUAUCACGAAGAACUCCGAUUGCGAAGGCAGCUCACUGGACUGAAACUGACACUGAGGCUCGAAAGUGUGGGUAUCAAACAGGAUUAGAUACCCUUGUAGUC
rnacentral:rRNA from 1 species